CUGACUCGCAGGCUGGCCAGCCCCAGGCUGGGCUGGGCAAGUAUCUCUUCGAAAGGCUCACCCUCAAGCAUGACUAGGAGC
rnacentral:pre_miRNA from 1 species